rnacentral:lncRNA from 1 species
UCUUCACGCGCGUGAAAGGAGAGGGGGCGCCAAUAGUUGGCGCCCUACCUUAUCUGGAAGUAUUUUUCAUCUAUUUUUUUUUAUUUGAAUUUGAUUUAGAAUAAGAUAGAAAUAUAUUAGAUUGGGGUGUAAAAAUAUUUUUUUAUAUGAUAAAAAAAUUAGAGAAAGAGGGUGUGCGCUAAUUGUUGGCAUGAGACAUCUCUCCUUCUUUCUUCUCUUAUCUCAAUGC